rnacentral:rRNA from 1 species
UAGGGAAUCUUCGGCAAUGGACGAAAGUCUGACCGAGCAACGCCGCGUGAGUGAAGAAGGAUUUCGGAUCGUAAAACUCUGUUGUUAGAGAAGAACAAGGACGUUAGUAACUGAACGUCCCCUGACGGUAUCUAACCAGAAAGCCACGGCUAACUACGUGCCAGCAGCCGCGGUAAUACGUAGGUGGCAAGCGUUGUCCGGAUUUAUUGGGCGUAAAGCGAGCGCAGGCGGUUUCUUAAGUCUGAUGUGAAAGCCCCCGGCUCAACCGGGGAGGGUCAAUGGAAACUGGGAGACGUGAGGGCAGAAGAGGAGAGUGGAAUUCCAUGUGUAGCGGUGAAAUGCGUAGAUAUAUGGAGGAACACCAGUGGCGAAGGCGGCUCUCUGGUCUGUAACUGACGCUGAGGCUCGAAAGCGGGGGGAGCAAACAGG